GAUGAACGCUGGCGGCGUGCCUAAUACAUGCAAGUCGAGCGAACGGACGAGAAGCUUGCUUCUCUGAUGUUAGCGGCGGACGGGUGAGUAACACGUGGAUAACCUACCUAUAAGACUGGGAUAACUUCGGGAAACCGGAGCUAAUACCGGAUGAUAUUUUGAACCGCAUGGUUCAAAAGUGAAAGACGGUCUUGCUGUCACUUAUAGAUGGAUCCGCGCUGCAUUAGCUAGUUGGUAAGGUAACGGCUUACCAAGGCAACGAUGCAUAGCCGACCUGAGAGGGUGAUCGGCCACACUGGAACUGAGACACGGUCCAGACUCCUACGGGAGGCAGCAGUAGGGAAUCUUCCGCAAUGGGCGAAAGCCUGACGGAGCAACGCCGCGUGAGUGAUGAAGGUCUUCGGAUCGUAAAACUCUGUUAUUAGGGAAGAACAUAUGUGUAAGUAACUGUGCACAUCUUGGCGGCACCUAAUCAGAAAGCCACGGCUAACUACGUG
rnacentral:rRNA from 1 species